GGAGAGAUGUCUGAGUGGUUUAAGGAGCCGGUCUUGAAAACCGGUGAUGUCGAAAGGCACCGGGGGUUCGAAUCCCUCUCUCUCCGCCA
rnacentral:tRNA from 1 species